UACGUAGGUGACCAGCGUUGUCCGGAUUUACUGGGCGUAAAGAGCGCGCAGGCGGUCGUUCAAGUCGGGUGUGAAAGCCCCCGGCUCAACUGGGGAGGGUCAUUCGAUACUGAUCGACUUGAAGGCAGGAGAGGGAAAUGGAAUUCCCGGUGUAGUGGUGAAAUGCGUAGAUAUCGGGAGGAACACCAGUGGCGAAGGCGACUUCCUGGCCUGUUCUUGACGCUGAGGCGCGAAAGCUAGGGGAGCAAACGGG
rnacentral:rRNA from 1 species